rnacentral:rRNA from 1 species
GACGAACGCUGGCGGCGUGCUUAACACAUGCAAGUCGAACGGUGAAGCUUGGUUUUUGCAUGGGGUGGAUGAGUGGCGAGUGGGUGGGUAAUACGAGUGUACUGUGCACUAGAGUGUGGGAUCCGCAUGGGAAAGGGGGUAUUAUACUGGAUAUGAGCUGUCAGCGUGUGGGGGUUUGGGGAACGGGGUUUGCUGGGGUUGGAUGGGCGCACGGCCUAUUAGCUGGUUGGUGGGGUAAUGGCUCACCAAGGCGACGACGGGUAGCCGGCCUGAGAGGGUGACCGGCCACACUGGGACUGAGACACGGCCCAGACUCCUACGGGAGGCAGCAGUGGGGAAUAUUGCACAAUGGGCGGAAGCCUGAUGCAGCGACGCCGCGUGCGGGAUGACGGCCUUCGGGUUGUAAACCGCUUUCAGCUCUGAAGAAGCGAAAGUGACGUUACUUGCAGAAGAAGCACCGGCUAACUACGUG